AGUUCUGGAGGCUAAAAGUCCAAGAUCAAAGGCACCAGUAGAUUUGGUAAACUAGGAAGCGGUGAGGGCCCACUUCCUGGUUUAUAGACUGAUGGCUGUCUUCUCACUGUGUCCUCAAAUGGAAGCUGAUGUUUCACAAAUAUUUUCUGGGUAAAUGGAUGGGCCUCGUGGGCUGUGCGGCUAUCCUGGAGACAGAUGACAGCUCUCCCUUGGAUGGCUUUGCUGGUUCCGCACCAGCCAGCGCCCCCAUUUUUCCUGCAGCACCCUGAUCUGCACUCCCUGAGGGGCUCCCACUGUCCGCGGUGUGAGGAUGUCCCUGGAAAUUGGUCUUCUGUGACUUUCUUGAUGGGGGCAGAUGAGAUCUUUGUACUGCAUUAAGUGGAUAGCGCUCAGGUCCUUUGGGCUUGGCGCUUUGGCAAUCUCCAGGCAGCUCACUUUGGCCUCUGUUCCUGGAUCCCCUUUGCUCUUUUCUGCGCCUGCAUUCAUAGUCCACUGUGUGCAGAGGCAUGGGAGUUGUCAUGUUGGGAACAUGCUAGACCUCAGUAUCCUUGAGGGAUGCUGCCUUGGGUCUGGAAACUGUUAGAGGAAACCCCAAGAGGUGCAGGCACUGAGCCUCUCAGGACAAUGACCUGGGGUCCCAGCUCCCCUGGAGGGGCCUCCUCAUGAUUGUUUGGGGGUUGAUCACAGACCAAGAGUGACGAGUGAUGUCACCCUGUGACUCAUGGCUGGACCUUCUUGCCCCUAUUGUCUCAGCACAACAUUAUUCGACUUUUCCCUCAGCGUGGGUGGGCAGAGGAAAAGCCCUGUGGCUCUGGGGACUUGGGAUCCAGAGUUGAAGACCCUUCAGCUGGCUCUGCCCUGCCAGUGCCACAGAGUGCCAUGGCCCAGGAAGACAGGUUUUCUUCCAUCUAGGCCAGGCCAUCCAGUGGCCAUCCUCCGUGUCCUCCCGCCUCCUCCUGGUGUGACUUCUGAAAACCAAGAAUUUGUUCCUGUUGACUUUUUCUGUGCUAUGGACCAUUGUCCUCUCACCCACUCAAUAAAUCUUGAAACAUGCCCUGCUGCUUGUUCUUUCA
ensembl:lncRNA SNHG11 small nucleolar RNA host gene 11